UGAGUAAUUUUUGGAAAUCGUUUUAAAUUAUUAUUCUUUAUUACAUAAUAAGCACACUACACUGAUAUUUUUCGGAAGAUCUACUGUAUUAGGAAUUAUUAAAUCAAUGAUAAAGUUUAAGUUUUCAAGACCGCGCCAAAAACGACAUUUCUGUAAUGGCGCUGGUCACAUGACACGUGUGACGUCACACGCUAGUAAACAAG